CUAAAAAGAAAAGAAUAAAUUUGUAUUUUUUUCUUGUUUUUCUAAUUUUUGUAAGAAAUACGAAUAUCUAUACUAGUAUGGUCAUUCGGUGAUUUUUACACAGU
rnacentral:ribozyme from 1 species